GCUGGAUUCUUCCGUUUUCUCUCAUCAAUGGAAUCGUCGCAGUUUCUGUAAUAAGUCGCGCAGGUUCUGAGGGCGGAGAAGGCUACAGAAAAUUGACAUCUCCCACUGAUAUUCUCAAGAAUUUAGAUACAGAUAGCCCUCCAACGAACAAAUGGUCAAGUGAGCUUCAGCCGCUGAAAAGAAUCUCAACUAUCCUUGAGAGUAAGUACCCCGAGUCCACUUUGCCGCCACCCACCAGCCUGCGCAGGAUAGAGGACUCCAAAAGGGUGCAGUCCUUCGAGGCUCGUCUGCAGGGAGUGGCUGCUUCCGUUCCUUUGGUUUCCAGCG